rnacentral:rRNA from 1 species
GACGUUGUAGAGUUCAUUAAACCUUAUCAUUAGAGGAAGGAGAGUCGUAACAAGGUUUCCGUAGGUGACCUGCGGAAGGAUCAUUG